UUGGGAAUCUUCCGCAAUGGACGCAAGCCUGACGGAGCAACGCCGCGUGAGUGAAGAAGGACUUCGGUUCGUAAAACUCUGUUGUUAGGGAAGAACAGCGCAUAGAGUAACUGUUACGCGUGUGACGGUAUCUAACCAGAAAGCCACGGCUAACUACGUGCCAGCAGCCGCGGUAAUACGUAGGUGGCAAGCGUUGUCCGGAUUUAUUGGGCGUAAAGCGAGCGCAGGCGGUCAAUUAAGUCUGAUGUGAAAGCCCCCGGCUCAACCGGGGAGGGUCAUUGGAAACUGGUUGACUAGAGGGCAGAAGAGGAGAGUGGAAUUCCAUGUGUAGCGGUGAAAUGCGUAGAUAUAUGGAGGAACACCAGUGGCGAAGGCGACUCUCUGGUCUGUAACUGACGCUGAGGCUCGAAAGCGUGGGUAGCAAACAGG
rnacentral:rRNA from 1 species